rnacentral:rRNA from 1 species
GCCACAUCAGGUUGAAACACCGCUUCCCGUAUGAUCACUCGAAGUUAAGCAACGUAAAGCCUGAUCAGUAGCUAGAUGGGUGACCGCUUGAGAAUACCAGGUGCUGUAAG